UGGCUAAGAGCCAAGCAUCGCAGUGAAUGCCUGUAAUCCCAGCACUCAGGAGGCUGAGAAAAGAAGAUUGUAAGUUUAAGACUAGCCUGGAACAUGUCGAGGCCCUAUCUUAAGAAGAGGCCGGAGGCUCUCCAUCAUUUUAUCAGGGACUUAUAUGUUGGAAGAAAAAACCUGCUCACUGAAUUUUAAGAUCACCUUACAGAGAAGAGCUCCUGUCAGGUAUCCUUGACACACAUGGAUGACAAAUUCUUAAAAUGUGCAAUAUGAUGAGUUUGGAUUUAAACCUAUACUUGUGAAACUGUGACCACAAUCAAGAUGGCAAACCAUCCAUCAUGUC